rnacentral:rRNA from 1 species
GACGAACGCUGGCGGCGUGCUUAACACAUGCAAGUCGAACGGAAAGGCCCCUUUGGGGGUCCCCGAGUGGCGAACGGGGGCGUAACGCGGGAGUAAACAGCCCUUGACUCCGGGUCAACUUCAGGAAACUGGGGCUAAUACCGGAAAGGAAUCCUUGCUGCAAGGGGGGGGUGGGAAAGCUUCGGCGGUGUUGGGUGGACUCGCGGCUUAUCAGCUUGUUGGUGGGGUGGUGGCGUACCAAGGCUUUGACGGGUAGCCGGCCAGAGGGGGCGACCGGCCACCCUGGGACUUAGGGGAGGCCCCGGCGCCGACGGGAGGACGCAGGGGGGAAGAUUGCUCAAGGGGCGGCGGCCGGAUGAAGCAGCGCCGCGGGCGGUAGGACGGUCUUCGUGUUGGAAACCGCCUUCAGCAUGGGCGAAGCUUGUGGUGACGGUACCUGCAGAAGAAGCACCGGCUAACUACGUG